GCAGUAGCUCAGUGGUAGAGCCCCAGCUUCGCAUGUGGGUCGAACUGGGUUCGAGUCCCGGCUGC
rnacentral:tRNA from 1 species